GGGACUGCGGGUUGAGCUGUCAAAAGAGGGACUGUCCCUCCGAAAAAGGGACAGUUGGGAGAAUGACCCCAGGAACAUAUGAAGCCAGUUAGGAUAAUUGGAUCUAGAUCUCUUGACCGACAGGAUAGCAGCGAUAAUACAUUUUCAAUAAAAGACACACACUAUGUACUUCUGCUCGCUGCUACUGGUGGGGGAUGUUUCCUUUUGUCCUUUAUGUAGGAGACAAUCGCUAAACCAGUGUUUUGUUACACUGAUCUUUGAAUGAAUAAAAGUGCACAAAUUUGAAGAUAA